GGGCCAGGCCAGCGCUGUAAUACGUAGGUGGCAAUCGUUAUCCGCAUUUAUUGGGCGUAAAGCGCGCGUAGCCGGUUUCAUAAGUCUGAUGUGAAAGCUCACGGCUCAACCGUGGAGGGUCAUUGGAAACUGGAAAACUUGAGUGCAGAAGAGGAAAGUGGAAUUCCAUGUGUAGCGGUGAAAUGCGCAGAGAUAUGGAGGAACACCAGUGGCGAAGGCGACUUUCUGCUCUGUAACUGACGCUGAUGUCCGAAAGCGUGGGGAUCAAACAGGAUUAGAUACCCUGGUAGUCCACGCCGUAAACGAUGAGUGGUAAGUGUUAGGGGGUUUCCGCCCCUUAGUGCUGCAGCUAACGCAUCAAGCAUUCCGCCUGGGGAGUACGACCGCAAGGUUGAAACUCAAAGGAAUUGACGGGGACCCGCUCAAGCGGUGGAGCAUGUGGUUUAAUUAGAAGCAACGCGAAGAACCUUACCAAAUCUUGACAUCCUUUGACAACUCUAGAGAUAGAGCCUUCCCCUUCGGGGGCCAAAGUGACAGGUGGUGCAUGGUUGUCGUCAGCUCGUGUCGUGAGAUGUUGGGUUAAGUCCCGCAACGAGCGCAACCCUUAAGCUUAGUUGCCAUCAUUAAGUUGGGCACUCUAAGUUGACUGCCGGUGACAAACCGGAGGAAGGUGGGGAUGACGUCAAAUCAUCAUGCCCCUUAUGAUUUGGGCUACACACGUGCUACAAUGGACAAUACAAAGGGCAGCGAAACCGCGAGGUCAAGCAAAUCCCAUAAAGUUGUUCUCAGUUCGGAUUGUAGUCUGCAACUCGACUACAUGAAGCUGGAAUCGCUAGUAAUCGUAGAUCAGCAUGCUAUCGGAAACCC
rnacentral:rRNA from 1 species